rnacentral:rRNA from 1 species
CCUACGGGAGGCAGCAGUGAGGAAUAUUGGUCAAUGGGCGGGAGCCUGAACCAGCCAAGUCGCGUGAGGGAAGACGGUCCUAUGGAUUGUAAACCUCUUUAGGCGGGGAGCAAUGCCGGGCACGUGUGCCCGGAGGGAGAGUACCCGCAGAAUAAGCAUCGGCUAACUCCGUGCCAGCAGCCGCGGUAAUACGGAGGAUGCGAGCGUUAUCCGGAUUUAUUGGGUUUAAAGGGAGCGUAGAUGGGUUGUUAAGUCAGUUGUGAAAUUUUGCGGCUCAACCGUAAAAUUGCAAUUGAUACUGGCAGCCUUGAGUACAGUUGAGGUAGGCGGAAUUCGUGGUGUAGCGGUGAAAUGCUUAGAUAUCACGAAGAACUCCGAUUGCGAAGGCAGCUUACUAAACUGCCACUGACAUUGAUGCUCGAAAGUGUGGGUAUCAAACAGGAUUAGAUACCCGUGUAGUC